UUCCUUCCUCACGAAGCAAACCCCACUGCGUAGCUAGGGUUGGUACCGCCGCCGCCGCCCAUCCCUGCUCCUCCGGCGUCGGACACCAAACAAGGUGUCCUCCUCAGAUCCACUUCUCCCCCAAACCUUCUCGUCUUCACGUUCCACCAGGCCGCCAUGAUGGUUUCUGAGGAGGGGGGAAAGGGAUGGCAUCGAGGUUCUGAUGGAGGCCCUAGCUCAAGGCGGGUUCUUGCCUGCUCAUUCAGCGCGUCUAAGGCGUUGGAGGGAACCAACUACCAACUGACUAGAAAGAUUGAGGUGUUGCAGUUGGUCGAUUGUGACUAUGAGGAACCAAAAUAUGGGGAUGACGUUCAUUCUUGGCCGGCUAUUGAUUGCUCUUCCGAAUAAGUUGGAGCAAUAAUAUGAGGUGGAGGCUCAAGUUGCUACGAGGAGCAAUGAUAAUAUAAAUGCUCAACAUAUGAGUUUUCUGCACCUGUGUUUUUACUAGUGCCACCCUUCCUGUUACAGAAAUGGAAGAGUAAGAAGAAAUCCAUGAAAGAAAGAUGGUUGAUCGGCUGAUGACGACGCGGCUGUUCCCUCCACGUUAAUACCGUGACUGUCAACAAGUUCGUCGUCGUCAAGGCCUCGAGCUGGCUGCAACCAAGCACGACCUCUAGCUCGUCCUGCAUCGCGCUUGCAAUCGCACGUGAUAGCCACGGCCUGCUCCACGCACGGACGACAAGCACGACGGCCCCGACCAAGGUUGACCAAAGGAUAGCUGUGUUUGCUCAAACAAAGUUCCAAAGAGAUGGCAUCGAGUUGAGUACAGGAUUAAGAGAUAAAGGUCUUUGUCGAUUCAAUUGCAGUGAAGUGCAAAUCAUCUGGUGGACUGCCGUGUAUAUUUAUUAUGUGGACUGCCGAGUGAUACUCGAGCUGUCAAUCCAUAUUCUUAGAUGCAUUUUAUCUAACCAUAAUGCUGUUGGUUUCAAAUAAUUUAAAGUCGCAAGGUAUUGGCAUAGACCCAAGCAUGUUUGUGCUUCAAGAUGAGGAGCUAGGCCUGACGACAACCACAACGAAGAGGUGGUGCGCUGGAAGAAUACGGCGUGGACGAUUCCAUCGAGAUGUGGCUCAAGUGGAUGUCGGUGAUGCAACAAUGAGAAGAUCCUCUGGUUUGGCUGCUCUCCAGUCCUCCCAAUCCCUCUGUUUUCUGAGAAUAUAUUUCUCUUUCUUUCAUGAGUAGGGACAUAAUCUUUUGAAGUUUCUACAAAGGGUUUGAUGACCA